UACAGAGGGUGCAAGCGUUAAUCGGAAUUACUGGGCGUAAAGCGUGCGUAGACGGUUGCGUAAGUCAGAUGUGAAAGCCCCGGGCUCAACCUGGGAAUUGCAUUUGAGACUGCGUAGCUAGGGUGCGGAAGAGGGAAGCGGAAUUUCCGGUGUAGCGGUGAAAUGCGUAGAUAUCGGAAGGAACACCAGUGGCGAAGGCGGCACUCUGGGCCGGUACUGACGCUGAGGAGCGAAAGCGUGGGGAGCGAACAGG
rnacentral:rRNA from 1 species